UACGUAGGGUGCAAGCGUUGUCCGGAAUUAUUGGGCGUAAAGAGCUCGUAGGCGGUUUGUCGCGUCGGCUGUGAAAACCUGAGGCUCAACCUCGGGCCUGCAGUCGAUACGGGCAAACUAGAGUUCGGUAGGGGAGACUGGAAUCCUGGUGUAGCGGUGGAAUGCGCAGAUAUCAGGAGGAACACCGGUGGCGAAGGCGGGUCUCUGGGCCGAAACUGACGCUGGAGGAAGCGAAAGCGUGGGGAGCGAACAGG
rnacentral:rRNA from 1 species